rnacentral:rRNA from 1 species
CGGACGGGUGAGUAAUGUAUGGGGAUCUGCCUGAUGGCGGGGGAUAACUACUGGAAACGGUAGCUAAUACCGCAUAACGUCGCAAGACCAAAGAGGGGGACCUUCGGGCCUCUUGCCAUCGGAUGUGCCCAGAUGGGAUUAGCUAGUAGGUGGGGUAACGGCUCACCUAGGCGACGAUCCCUAGCUGGCCUGAGAGGAUGACCAGCCACACUGGAACUGAGACACGGUCCAG